rnacentral:tRNA from 1 species
AGGGGUAUGGCUCUGUGGGAGAGCACUUACCUAGCAUGCACAAGGAUGUGGGUUCGAUCCCCACUAUCCUA